rnacentral:rRNA from 1 species
AAUUCAAGGGCCGCGGUAUUUUGACCGUGCGAAGGUAGCGUAAUCAUUAGUUUUUUAAUUGGAAUCUUGUAUGAAUGGUUAGACAAGAGAAACUCUGUCUCUUUAUUAAAAAUUGAAUUUAACUUUUAAGUGAAAAGGCUUAAAUUAAUUAAAGGGACGAUAAGACCCUAUAAAGCAUUUUAUUGGGGCGAUAAGAGUAAAAUGUUUAACUGCUUGAAUUUAAAGACAUAAAAUUAUUGAAGAGAUCCUUGAUAAAGAUUAUAAGUUUAAGUUACUUUAGGGAUAACAGCGUUAUUUUUUUUGAGAGUACAUAUCGAAAAAAGAGUUUGCGACCUCGAUGUUGAAUUAAAAUUUCUUUAUAGAAGCAGAAACUAUAAAAGUUGGUCUGUUCGACCUUUAAAAUUUU